rnacentral:rRNA from 1 species
UACGGGGGGGGCAAGCGUUGCUCGGAAUUACUGGGCGUAAAGGGCUCGUAGGCGGCCAACUCAGUCGGACGUGAAAUCCCUCGGCUUAACCGGGGAACGGCGUCCGAUACUGGAUGGCUUGAAUCCGAGAGAGGGAUGCGGAAUUCCAGGUGUAGCGGUGAAAUGCGUAGAUAUCUGGAGGAACACCGGUGGCGAAGGCGGCAUCCUGGAUUGGUAUUGACGCUGAGGAGCGAAAGCUAGGGGAGCAAACGGG